GUUGUAUGGUUAAGUGACUAAGCGUACACGGUGGAUGCCUUGGCAGUCAGAGGCGAUGAAGGACGUAUUAACUUGCGAUAAGCCCAGAUUAGGCAGUAAAAGCCACUUGAGUCUGGGAUUUCCGAAUGGGGAAACCCAACUGCAUAAGCAGUUACUGUUAACUGAAUACAUAGGUUAACAGGGCGAACCGGGGGAACUGAAACAUCUAAGUACCCCGAGGAAAAGAAAUCAACCGAGAUUCCGAAAGUAGCGGCGAGCGAAAUUGGACUAGCCCUUAAGCUUUAUAUGCGUUAGACGAACGGUCUGGAAAGUCCGGCGAUACAGGGUGAUAGCCCCGUAGUUGACAACGCACAUUCAGUGAAAUCGAGUAGGGCGGGACACGUGAUAUCCUGUCUGAAUAUGGGGGGACCAUCCUCCAAGGCUAAAUACUACUGACUGACCGAUAGUGAACCAGUACCGUGAGGGAAAGGCGAAAAGAAC
rnacentral:rRNA from 1 species